rnacentral:tRNA from 1 species
CAUUUUUGAGAAAGAACACCAAUACUACAAACAAGUAUACAAGGAAUAUAAUUAUUCCCUCAAAACC